AUUGAACGCUGGCGGCAGGCCUAACACAUGCAAGUCGAGCGGAUGAAGCGAGCUUGCUCCUGGAUUCAGCGGCGGCCGGGUGAGUAAUGCCUAGGAAUCUGCCUGGUAGUGGGGGAUAACGUCCGGAAACGGGCGCUAAUACCGCAUACGUCCUGAGGGAGACAGUGGGGGAUCUUCGGACCUCUCGCUAUCAGAUUAGCCUAGGUCGGAUUAGCUAGUUGGUGGGGUAAAUGCCUACCAAGGCGACGAUCCGUAACUGGUCUGAGAGGAUGAUCAGUCACACUGGAACUGAGACACGGUCCAGACUCCUACGGGAGGCAGCAGUGGGGAAUAUUGGGCGAGGGGCGAAAGCCUGAUCUAGCCAUGCCGCGUGUGUGAAGAAGGUCUUCGGAUUGUAAAGCACUGUAAGUUGGGAGGAAGGACAGUAAGUUUAUACCUGACUGUUUUGACGUUACCAACAGAAUAAGCACCGGCUAACUUCGUG
rnacentral:rRNA from 1 species